CUAGACGCGUCGUCUAGUAGAUUCCACUGCCUCACUGAAACGGUAAAGUCCGGAGCCAUCCCGAUCGUCCAUCCGAUCUCUAACCCUAAUCCUAGCCGUAUAUUCAUACCGACCUCGUCUAUAAAUGGCGGACCUGGGUUCAUUCUAAGACGUUGGAGCUCGAGGCAGUUUGCUGUUCGCGGCGGUGAGUUUGUUUUAUAGGAAAAAAUAAUUGGACAAAGAGGACGGAGUCUUUUCGUGGUUGUAUUUCUCUAUGGAAGUUGAUCAAAGGAAAUGGACAAGGGAGAUAUUUACAUUGAUAAUUAGACAAGUGCUCUUUGUUUGGUGACAAUAAUUGGACAGUAAGGAGGCCCACCGAUGUAUGUGUCAUGCCUUUUCAUUUGUUGAAGACUUUAACCGGACAAGAAGGAAAUGGCAAUAAUGUCCAAGAAAGAAGAAGGUGUCCAUUUAGCAGUUGCAUAUCUCUCUCUGGUUUUCUGCACAUCACAAUUUUAGCUGUCUUUUACUAUCAUAUUGGUUUCUAGUAUUUUCGUUGAAGUACUUUUUUAUGUUGUUUUGUUCUAGAUUUGAUUUAUAGCAGACAAUAAUCAGGCAGGAAGGGAGAUGUCUUUUGUAUAUCUGUCUUUGUUUUGAGGUGUUUCGGAACUGGGUGGAUUACAAAACAAUGGGGUUAUUUUUACUUGUGAAUGACCAGUUUGUUAUUUGAAAUAUUGCUUCUAUCUUUUCAUUUGUUUGAAGUUUGUUUUAAUGCAGGCUAAAAAGUAAGCCCUUUCUGCUCAUAGUAGUUCUCUAGUCUCAUAUCUACUCCAUUUUGUACAUUUUGGAUAUCUUUUCCUGAUUUAUGGACUUCUAGUGAGUUCUCUCAAGUAUUAUUGCUUCUGUGCUUGGUUUUGUUCUAGGUUUCUUUUAUGAAAGACAAUUGUUGGGUUUUGUGUUUCCUAAUGAGGUCCAAGGCGAUGACGAUGGUUCGGGUUAGUUUCAUAGGUUUCGGCCUGGGAUUGAAGCAACGGUUCAACCCACUUAUUGGCAGCCCAUUUAUAGAAGUCGGGCCAUAAGCCCUUAACCCUCCAUUUGGAGGAGAAAUAGGCCUUGACCCAUUUGCUCAAGGGAGGGAGGAAGCCCAUGAAGCCCAAGCCCAAGCCCAUUACCUUCUUAGCCCAUUUCUCUCUUGUGCCCUAAGCCCACAAUAUAAAAGGGAAUGUGUUUCUCUUCCUUGUCCCUAUGUGGCGGCCGAUUGUGUUCUCUCCCUUGUUCCCUCUCUCGGCCGAUUCUCCUUUCAUUGAUGGCCGAUCCUCUUGGGGUUUCUUUCCUUCUCGGUCAGAUGCUUCUUUCCUUUGCUGUGUGCCGCACUUUUCUUGUGCGUGGUGGCUGUUCGUCAAUGGCGUUUGCAACGCCUAUUUAGUCCGAGUUGUUGUCUUCUCUUUGAGGUAAGUUUUUCGGCCAUUGUUGAACCCAUAUUUUCGUGAUUACUCUUUGUUCCUUGGUGGAUCCUACUGUGUGUGGAAGCUUGUGUGGCUUGGGUGAGGGGUGUUGAUCGGCCGAGGGAUUUGGGGGUUUGAGGGCUUUGGUUCUUGGGGGUUUGGGCUCCUUUGUGGCUUGGUGUCCCUAUUCGUUGGCGUUACCUAAGUGGUGAUUGAACGAGCCUAGAUCUGAGCCUUAAAGCAGUCUUCGUGACUACCAUUGUUGCUAAACAAGGAGUUUAAUUUUCUGCCUUGAUUUGUUCUUGCAUUCGGUUGUUUUGGUUUGAUUUCGAUUGAGUUCUAACCCAUUGUUUUGUAGAGAUUUUCCGCAACAACAAUAAUAGGGGAAUAAGGAGUGUCUUCAUAUUGGUGGUGCAUCGGUCUUUUUUAGUGUUGUUCUAUUAGUGUCUUCAAUUUUGACUUUUUUUUGCGAGUUGCAGUUCUCUUGUUACACUAAAUUAUAGUGUUCUCUUGCCUGUAUCCUGCACCAGUUAAUUGUUGUUAUUAGUUGUCUGUUUCUAUAUGACGAACUGCUUGGUUGUUUUCUAAGAACUGCUACUAUUCUUUCAUAUGUUUUUGGUUUCUUUUGUAGCAGGCAAUAAUCGGACAAGAAAGAAGGUGAUAACUCUCUUAGUUGAGUCUUUUUCUCGAAGUGGGUGAACGUACUUCAAGGGAGUCACUUAUGCUAGUUUUCAUCUCAUUGCAGUUCCCUAGUCUUUGAAUCUUGUUCUCAAAAUGGGUGAACAGAUUUCAAGGGAGUCACUUAUGCUGGUUUUCAUCUCAUUGCAGUUCCCUAGUCUUUGAUAUGUUAUGCUCCAUUUUAUACAUUCUGACUGUCUUUUCAUAUCUUAAACGGACUUGCAUCAUGUUCAUUGAAGUGCUGCUUUUUUAUGUUCUGUUCUAGGAUUGUCCUCUUGCAGAUAGUAAUAAGACAAAGGAAGGAGGUCUCUUGUAUUGGUUGUAUAGUGGUGUUCUGGAAGUGGAUGGGACACAUAAGGGAGUUAAUUUAUAGUGGUUUGCAGCACAUUGUUGUUCUUUCUUGUUGCCAUGAAUUCCUAUUUGACCGUGCUUUUAGUAAUUCUACUCCACUUUGUAUGUUUAGGCUGUCUUUCCUAUUCUAUGAACAUUUAAUGUCUUUUCUUUUGUUCUAGUAUUGAAUAUUUAGUAGGCAAUAAUGUCUUUUCUGAUCCUCUUACUACUUCUCUCUUUUCGUUUGUUCUAGCUUUGUUUUAUAGCAGGCAAUAAUCUGCCAAGAAGGAAAGUGUAAUUUCUAUUAUUAAUGUUGCUUUCGCAGUUUUCAGUCUUGUUUCCUUGAAUUCUAGUUAUGUCUAUUCAUUUGAAGUACUCGCUAUACCUUUUCAUUUGUUUUAGGUUUGUUUUAUAGGCAAUAAUGGGACAAGAAGAAAGGUAGUGUCCAUUUAGUAGUUGCAUAUCUCUCUUUGGUUUUCUCCACAGCACGAUUCUUUUGUCCUACAUGAUCUAUAUCUUAUACAUUUUAGCUGUUGUUUCCUAUCAUAUGGCUUAUAGUGUUUUCCUUGAAGUAUUUUUUUGUCUUGUUUUGUUCUAGAUUCAAUUUAAGGAGACAAUGAUCUGUUAAGAGAGUAGAAGUCUUUUGUGUAUCUGUUCGUGUUCUGAGGUUGAGGUGUAUUGGAACUGUACAGAUUACAGAACAAUUGAGUUAUUUAUACGGACCAUGCUAUUGGUACUUCUUGGGCUACACAUUGCAUUAUAAAUGACAAAAAUACCUCUCACGCCUCACCGCCUUGUGCUACCUCACCGCCUUGGGUGAGGGGCAUUUUAGUCACGUGCCUCAUCGCCUCACUUCACUGCUUUGUGUGUGGGGUGCAUUAGAUAUUUUAGCUACAUUAUGUAGCCGAAGUUGUUGCCCAUGAUGUACCAAUAGCAUUUUCCUAUUUAUACUAGUCUUAAGGACAGUGCAGUUAUGUAGUUUUGUUGACUUGAAUGCCAGUUUGUUUCGCAUUGAUCUUUCAAUUGCAUGUUAGGAGUUCAGAUUUUGUUGGAGUAUUAGAAUUGACUCGUAAUCUAAUCCAACAACAUGUCUUGGUUUCGAUUGAAUGUGCAUGCUGCUGAUCAAGUUCAGGUUUCCCCGAUGUUCUUAAUAUAGAAUUGAAGCAAUUCUUUAAGGCACCUUCAUGCAUAGAGAUGAGAGCAAGACUUGCAUUAUGUUUGUUGAAGUACUACUUUUUUGUUUUGUUCUAAGAUUGUCCACUUGCAGAUGGUAAUAAGACAAAAGAAGAAGGUUUCUUGUACUGGUUGUAUAGUGGUGUUCUGGAAGUGGAUGAGACGAACAAGGGAGUUAAUUUAAUACUGGUUUCCAACACAUUGUUGUUCAUUUUUCUUGCCAUGAAUUCCUGUUUGAACUUAGUUUACAUCUUCACCUCUUUUACUAAUUCUACUCCACUUUGUAUGUUUAGGCUGUCUUUCCUAUUCUAUGAACAUUUAAUGUCUUUUCUUUUGUUCUAUGGUUGUUUUUUAUUUUUUUGGCUUGCAGUAAGUGGACAAAAUGGGAAGGUGCAUUUUUAUUUGGGGUUCCAUCUUUCUUUGUUCAGUACCUUUCUGGAAGUGGAUGGGUCAAGAAGAGUGUCAUUUGCACUUGUUUUCUGCAAGUUGCAUUUCUAUUGUCCAGUUACAUGGAAGGUGCAUUUUUAUUUGUGGUGGUUCUUUCUGUGUUCAACAGUCUUCUGGACGUGGAUGUGACUGGAAAGGUGUCAUGUCCACUUGUUUUCUGCAAGUUGCAUUUCACUUACCUGGAUCCCUAUCUUUACUCUAUUUUUAUAUGUUUUUGUUAACCAUUUCUCUUUGUUGACUGCAAGGUGGUUUUCUUACUUACUGCUUCUGUCUUUUCAUUUGUUCUAUGUUGCAUUAUAGCAAUCAAUAAUCGGGCAAGGAGAAUGGUGUCCUUUGGCGACUGUAUAUCUCUCUGUGUUGAGUGUUGUUAUGGAAGUAGAUGGAAUGGACAACACGGAGUCACUUAUGCUUGUUUUGAGUUCAUUUCUUUAAUCUUAGAUCUACUCCAUUCUAUACGUUUUGCUCAAGUAUUCCUAUAUGUUAGAACUGCCAGGUGGUUUUCUAAGGUAUUGCUUAUGUUUUUUAAUUUCUUCUAUGUUUGCUUUAUAGAAGGUAAUAAUUUUAUGACGACCGUGCCCCUUUUGUCGAGUGUUGUUCUGGACGUGUAUGGAACAAACUACAAGGAUGUCACUUAUGCUGGUUUUCAGCUCAUCACAGUUCUACAGUCUUGAAUUCCGGUUUGACUUAGACUGGAUCUGCUGCUCCUUUAUUAUUUCUACUCUAGCUUGGAUCUUCUCCUGGUUACAUUAUCUUCACUCUUUUUUAUUUGUGUUUCCUGACAAAUUCAGAUGAUGUUAUCUGAAGUAGUGCUUCCAUCUUUCCAUUCGUUUGAGGUUUGCUUAACAGGCAAUAGUUGGACACAAAUGAUGGAGUCAUUUUAGUAGGUUUCUAUAUCCCUAUUUGUUGAGUGUUGUUCUCCUCAUUUCUGUUGAUGAAUGCUGGUUUUCUGCUCACUUCUCAUUCUGGAAGCGGAUGGAAUGGACAACAUAUGCUGGUUUUCUACUCAUUUCUGUUCUCUAAUGUUCGUUGAAGUAUUGCUUCUUUGUUUUGUUCUAUUUUCCUUGUCCUGGAUCAUGCUUGUUCAUAUUAUUCCAUUUUAUACAUUUUGGUUGUCUUACUCCCAUAUGGUGAACUGCAAGGUUGUUUUUUGAAGUACUACUUGUGUCUUUUCAUUUGUUCUAGGUUCAUUUUAUAGAAGGCAAUAAUCAGACAGAGACUGUGUUUGUUUAGAUGAUGUAUGUCUCUCAUUGUUGUGUUGUUCUGGAAGUGGAUCAAAUGAGAAGGGAGUUACAUAUGUUAGUUUUUGUCUCAUCAUAGUUCUCUAAUCAUACCUACUCAAUUUUAUACAUUUUGGCUGUCUUUUCCUAUCAUAUGGACUUCAAGUAUGUUCGUUGAUGUAUGGCAGACAAUAAUAAGAUAAGAAGGAAGGUGUCUGUCUUUAUAUUGGUUGUAUAUCUCUCUUUGUUUUGCGUGGGUGUUAUUUAUGUUGGUUUUCAGCGCAUUGCACUUAAGCCAUCUUUCCUGUCUUUUGAACAACUUGUGUCUUUUCUUGUUCAAAUUUUAUAUGUUUUUGCUUCCAAAAAUUGGACAAGAAGGAAGGUGCAUUUUUAGUGGCUAUACACCACUCUUUGUUUAGUGGUGUUCUUUGAGUGGAUGGAACAGACAAGAUAGGUGUCAUCUCCACUUGAUAUCCUGUUCCUCGCUGUCUAUUACUUGUUCUCUCCUUUUUAUUCGUUCUUUGUUGUCUUUUCUUGUUUAAUGUAUUCACAAUUUGUUUUCUGUGCUUACUGGUCUUUUCUUUUCAUUUGUUUGAGGCUUGGUUUAUGGCUGCCAAUAGUUGGACAGGAUGGAAGGUUUGUUUUAUAGCAUCUCUCUUUGUUGAGUGGUGUUCUGGAGGUGGAUGGAAUGGAUAACAAGGGAGUCACUUAUUCUUAUUUUCAGCUUAUUUUUGUUCUCUAGUGUUAUGUCUAUUGCAUUUUUUAUGCUUUGCCUAUCUUUUCCAAUCUUACUAGUUUCUAGUAUGUCAGUUUUACUCUUUGUUCAGCAGUGCUCUAGAAGUGGACAGAACGCACAAAGGAGUUAUUUAUUCUGAUCCAUUUCAUGAGGUGAGGAGAAAAAGAGAGAAGAAGAAAGAGGGGGCAACAGGGAAUUUCGUAUUGUAAGAGACAACUGAGUAAACCAUAGUAUCUCUAGGGAGAUGAGGCCUCCUUUGCUGCCGUGUUCAACAUUGUCCACUGAGCAACUGAUCUCUCAUGUUUCUGUAAAGGGUUCAACCGGGAUUUCUGACAAUCCAAACUCAUCUGGAUCUGAAGUUAUGCAAACCGUUUCAAACCCUAGGCACUCCCAGGAUACCAAUUCAAGCAGCAUUACUAGGAAAGAAUUACAGGAGAAGGAGCCAGUAGUUCCAACUGCUGUUACACAGUUGCAAGGAUCUAACCCGCAUUCUCAACCACAAUUUGCAACUCUGGCAUCUAACCACUCAGUCAUAGGGUUGUACUCAUCUUCUUCAGAUCCUGUUCAUGUCCCAUCUCCUGACACAAGAUCUGCUGCUAAUAUUGGUGCUAUUAGGCGUGAACUCAGGGCAGUAGGUGUUCGCUGUCAGUCUUCUGAAACUUCAGGGAAACCUUUGCCUGCAUAAAACAGUUCCCAGCACGUCGAUGAGCAUAUCUUUCUUGAGCAAUCAGUAUAAUAGCAGACCACAUCAACAAAUUGUGGGUCAUCAGAAAGAUUCCAUCAAACAAAGAGAAAGAAGCAGCCAAAUUUCCUCAUGACUUGGACCUCAUACAAUGGCCUCCAUUCUUAGCAAGGUUUGGCUUGGUUGCUAGGUGAUGGUGAGUUCCAAAAGCUCAAAGAAUCCAAUAUUCGAGAACACAAGAGUUCCCGACUGUGAGCAGUAGGGAACCCAAGGUUCUCCAACCUUGAACUAGGGUUACCCCCGGUUGAUGGUCGCAGCCAUGGCGACGGUUGGUAUGUAUUGUUUAAUAUUUAAUUUAUUCAAAUUAUAGAAUGAUGUAUUUUAUUAUAUAAAUUUAGUAUUUUUUAUUAUAAAACGUCAAUAAGUAUACAAUAAUUUUAAUUUCUAUUUUUUGUUCAAGUGUUUACAAAUUUUGUUUUACUUUCUCUUAUAUUUUGAUUUGUAAUAUUAGUAAACAUUAUAAAUCUUA